rnacentral:rRNA from 1 species
UACGGAGGGUGCAAGCGUUAUCCGGAUUCACUGGGCUUAAAGGGUGCGUAGGCGGGCAGGUAAGUCAGUGGUGAAAUCUUCGGGCUUAACUCGGAAACUGCCAUUGAUACUAUCUGUCUUGAAUACCGUGGAGGUUAGCGGAAUAUGUCAUGUAGCGGUGAAAUGCGUAGAUAUCUGGAGGAACACCGGUGGCGAAGGCGGCAUCCUGGACCGGCAUUGACGCUGAGGCGCGAAAGCCAGGGGAGCAAACGGG